CCCAGACUCCUACGGGAGGCAGCAGUGGGAAUAUUGCACAAUGGGGGAAACCCUGAUGCAGCGACGCCGCGUGGGUGACGAAGUAUUUCGGUAUGUAAAGCCCUAUCAGCAGGGAAGAAGAUGACAGUACCUGACUAAGAAGCCCCGGCUAACUACGUGCCAGCAGCCGCGGUAAUACGUAGGGGGCAAGCGUUAUCCGGAUUUACUGGGUGUAAAGGGAGCGUAGGUGGCAUGGCAAGCCAGAAGUGAAAACCCGGGGCUUAACCCCGCGGAUUGCUUUUGGAACUGUCAGGCUGGAGUGCAGGAGGGGCAGGCGGAAUUCCUGGUGUAGCGGUGAAAUGCGUAGAUAUCAGGAGGAACACCGGUGGCGAAGGCGGCCUGCUGGACUGUAACUGACACUGAGGCUCGAAAGCGUGGGGAGCAAACAGGAUUAGAUACCCUAGUAC
rnacentral:rRNA from 1 species